UUAAGUUCAGCGGGUAUCCUUGUCUGAUUCGAGGUCAAAAGUCAAGAAAGUCACCAUAAGGCAACAUUCAGUUUUUAACGCCACAAAGCCAUGAACAGUCGCUGAAAUAUAUGUAAACACCACUUCAUUAACCUAGCAUUAGCUUGCGGUCGUGCAGCAAGUUUAAGGCGGGAGCAGCCAUAAAGGCUAGUCCUCCGCAG
rnacentral:misc_RNA from 1 species